UACGGAGGAUGCGAGCGUUAUCCGGAUUUAUUGGGUUUAAGGGGUGCGCAGGCGGCACGGCAAGCCGGCGGUCAAAUCGCGGGGCUCAACCCCGCCCAGCCGUCGGAACUGCCGGGCUAGAGUGGGCGAGAAGUGCGCGGAAUGCGUGGUGUAGCGGUGAAAUGCAUAGAUAUCACGCAGAACUCCGAUUGCGAAGGCAGCGCACCGGCGCCCUACUGACGCUCAGGCACGAAAGCGUGGGUAUCGAACAGG
rnacentral:rRNA from 1 species